rnacentral:rRNA from 1 species
AUGAUGGUGCGUGAUCGCCAGCACCGCAUCCUGGCCAGAGUGCCGCGCACCCGCAAUAGGCUCUACAUCGCCCGUCUACAGCUCGCCAACCCCGUCUGUCUUGCUGCGCUCUCCGGGGACGAGGCGUGGCGCUGGCACGCGCACUUCGGGCACCAACACUUCGACGGCCUCGAGCGGCUGGCACGUCAGAACAUGGUAAAGGGCAUGCCCCUCUUCCACCACUCCGAGCAGGUUUGCGACGCCUGCCUAGUGGGCAAGCAGCGGCGAGCGUCGUUCCCUCAGCAGGCUAACUACCGCGCCACCGAGCCGCUUGAGCUUGUGCAUGGUGAUCUUUGUGGGCCUAUCUCGCUGCCCACUCCGGGCGGCAAGCGUUACUUCCUGUUGCUUGUGGAUGAUCACAGCAGGUUCAUGUGGUUGUACUUGCUCCGGAGCAAGGACGAGGCAGCCGAGGCGAUCCAGCACUUCCAGGCACACGCAGAGCGCGAGACGGGGCGGAAGUUGCGCACUUUCCACUCUGACCGAGGCGGAGAGUUCAACUCCAGCGAGUUCAGCGCACAUCUUGCUGAUCUUGGGGUCCAGAGGCACCUCACCGCGCCAUACUCACCCCAAUAG